ensembl:lncRNA
GUGUGUGCACGUGCUGCUGGUCUUGUGGGACCACACAGCCUCUCAGAGGAGCUGCCAUCCAGUGGCCGAGUCAGGGCAGCUGCAGCCAGCAGGAGGAGCUGAUGGGCAUCAUUGCUGCCCAAGGCCUCCAGGGCCACUUAAUCCUACAACCCCCGAGCCUUCGAGCUGGGUUGGUUAACCUUGCUUUGAAGAAAAUGCAUUAUAUCUCAGGCCUGGGGUCAGGAGGCUACUGGGAGAAGACCCUGGUCUCUGAGCCACCUGAAGGUGCCCUUUGCCCAGAUGGGGUAGGAGAGACGUUCCCAGUGGUCCUGCAUCAGGGCCCAGGCUCCCCUCCCAGAGCGUGUGACCAGCAAGGGGCCCCUACUCACCUGCUCUUCUGCCUGCUGCUGCCACACGCCCGAUGCUCCAGCCAUGUGAGAUUCCAUGCUGUUCACUGUGCUCGAGUUCUCCCUGCAUCUUUCCAUCUUUCCCUCUCUUUGGAAAUAAACUCUAUCCUUCCCGGCCUGGAGAGAAAGCCUUCCACUUCAAGUCCUAGCUUAGACGUCAUCUCCUCCAGGAGGCCCUCUCUAGGUGUCUUGGUGGAUUUAAACCUCCCAUCGUUCUCCUGUCUGUCGUCUGAGAAAGGACUGGCAGAGUACUGGCGGUCUGUGUGUCUCCUGGAGGCCUCUGUUGUGGGGCCAGGGAGGUGGCAGGCACUUUGCCAGCGUGUCUUGCUCUGUCUCCACUUCCCAACUGGCUUCUGUGUGGAUGGCUCCUGCCCGCCGCCCUCUGUGACUGCUCAUUUGUCCUUUGAUGGUCAAGGCUGAGAGAAAGUCCCCCUUGGGCUCUUCCGUUCCAGCUUCAGGUCUGCAGUACCCACAAUCCCCCAGGUGGUGGCCAGUCCAGUGGGAACCGAAGGGCACUCGUCCUGGCUGCUCAGGGUGGCCUCCAUUGCUCACACAGGUUCUGAGUAGGAGUCCUGGUGGUCCCACCAGGACAAGGGUCAUGGAAAGCACACAAGCAGUGAGUGUAGUCUAUC